rnacentral:rRNA from 1 species
UACGUAGGGUGCGAGCGUUAAUCGGAAUUACUGGGCGUAAAGCGUGCGCAGGCGGUUUUGUAAGACAGAUGUGAAAUCCCCGGGCUUAACCUGGGAACUGCAUUUGUGACUGCAAGACUAGAGUGCGGCAGAGGGGGGUAGAAUUCCACGUGUAGCAGUGAAAUGCGUAGAUAUGUGGAGGAAUACCGGUGGCGAAGGCGGGUCUCUGGGCCAUUACUGACACUGAGGAGCGAAAGCGUGGGGAGCAAACAGG